AGUGAACGCUGGCGGUAGGCCUAACACAUGCAAGUCGAACGGCAGCACAGUAAGAGCUUGCUCUUACGGGUGGCGAGUGGCGGACGGGUGAGGAAUACAUCGGAAUCUACUUUUUCGUGGGGGAUAACGUAGGGAAACUUACGCUAAUACCGCAUACGACCUACGGGUGAAAGCAGGGGAUCUUCGGACCUUGCGCGAUUGAAUGAGCCGAUGUCGGAUUAGCUAGUUGGCGGGGUAAAGGCCCACCAAGGCGACGAUCCGUAGCUGGUCUGAGAGGAUGAUCAGCCACACUGGAACUGAGACACGGUCCAGACUCCUACGGGAGGCAGCAGUGGGGAAUAUUGGACAAUGGGCGCAAGCCUGAUCCGGCCAUAACGCGUGGGUGAAGAAGGCCUUCGGGUUGUAAAGCCCUUUUGUUGGGAAAGAAAAGCAGCAGGUUAAUACCCCGCUGUUCUGACGGUACCCAAAGAAUAAGCACCAGCUAACUUCGUG
rnacentral:rRNA from 1 species